rnacentral:lncRNA from 1 species
AAAAAUUUAAAAAUCCACAAUUUUAAAACAUGCACUUGACAAAAACUGAAAAACCCCGUUAAUUCAAAAGUGAGCUGGUCAUUUUGGGGCUUACCUCAUGGGGGUAUUAGUGACCGAGUAUGUAGCACAGGGUGAAAGUGUUUGGAGCCUCUAUCACAAGGGGCUAGUGUGUAUUUAAUCCUAUUCUAUAUUGUUAAGAAACACUAAAGUGGAUCAGAGCAUUAAUCCUCCCAUUGUAUUCUCUCUACAAGUAUUCACAAAAACAUAAAAACAGAUUGCAAUCUAUAUUUCAACACUCAGAGCUUUAACUGAUUACUACUUGGUAACAAAAUUAACCCUCAUAAAAACAGAUUACAUAAGUACUAUUCACAUAAACAUAAUGUAUAUAUAUGAUCAUAUUGACGAUUAAUUAGUAGAAUGAGAAUUAACAGAAAUUAGAAGCAGACCUUAGAGAGAGAAACCAGAAUCCUUUCAGCUGUGAAAGAGUUGGAGAGAGAAAGUCAGUAUUCGACUGUGUGAAUUUGUUGAUGGAAAUGCAUCGGUUGUAACUUGGAGCACUUUGAUGAAAUAGAAACGGUGUAUAAACUUGUAAUUGUUUGGAUAUGGGAAGAAGACUCGUGUGAUUAAGGCCAACCGAGUGGAACAGAGCAUCUC